GCCCGGCUAGCUCAAUCGGUAGAGCGUGAGACUCUUACGAGAGUGUCCAAUCUCAAGGUUGUGGGUUCGACCCCCACGUCGGGCU